rnacentral:rRNA from 1 species
GAAUAAUACGUGGCGAACGGCUCAGUAACACGUAGUCAACAUGCCCAGAGGACGUGGAUAACCUCGGGAAACUGAGGAUAAACCGCGAUAGGUCAUAAUUACUGGAAUGUGUUAUGGCCCAAAUCUAUAUGGCCUCUGGAUUGGACUGCGGCCGAUCAGGCUGUUGGUGAGGUAAUGGCCCACCAAACCUUUUACCGGUACGGGCUCUGAGAGGAGGAGCCCGGAGAUGGGCACUGAGACAAGGGCCCAGGCCCUAUGGGGCGCAGCAGGCGCGAAACCUCUGCAAUAGGCGAAAGCUUGACAGGGUUACUCUGAGUGAUUCCCGCUAAGGGAAUCUUUUGGCAUCUCUAAAAAUGGUGCAGAAUAAGGGGUGGGCAAGUCUGGUGUCAGCCGCCGCGGUAAUACCAGCACCCCGAGUGGUCGGGACGAUUAUUGGGCCUAAAGCAUCCGUAGCCGGUCUUGCAAGUCUUCCGUUAAAUCCAGCUGCUUAACAGAUGGGCUGCGGAGGAUACUACAAGGCUAGGAGGCGGGAGAGGCAAGCGGUACUCAGUGGGUAGGGGUAAAAUCCUCUGAUCCAUUGAAGACCACCAGUGGCGAAGGCGGCUUGCCAGAACGCGCUCGACGGUGAGGGAUGAAAGCUGGGGGAGCAAACCGGAUUAGAUACCCGGGUAGUCCCAGCUGUAAACGA